CCUAUUCAUCCUUCAAAACCCAGCUCAGGUGUCAACAACUGCAGGAAAAUUUUCCUAACCAUACUUUGUCUCCUGAAAUGUGUAAGGUUUCCCUCCCCUACGUCCCCAUUUCACUCCACAAGACUUCUGUCAUGGCCUGAUCUCUCUAUCUGAUGACUAAGGAUUCCUCACGUCACCUAAACUCUUGCAUCACUUCUCUACUGUGUAUUUGGGAGUAAUUUCUGUUCCAGAGUUGAUUCACACUCAGCUGCUUCUUUGUGGUCACUAUCUUCUAAGCUGCUUUCUGCUUCACUUCUUGGAAGUGAUCUCUUUUCUCCCUUAAUACCCUGUCAUCACCAGCAUGUGCAUCUCAAAGCAUAAAGAGUGAGUGUUUCACAGACUUGUGUUGACUGUUGCGGAAGCACUGGUGACCAUUGGAGCAGCAUCUCCCAGGAUUGAGGAAACCGUCAUUUGAAGAGAGGGCUCCUAUGCCUGGAACACAAUACGUGUCUCAGAAGGCCACUCACUGCAUGAAUGGAAAGGAGGCUAGAUGGAAGAAUUUACUGUAUAUAGUAAUGAAUAUAAAACACAUGAUGGUCUGGAACUGAACCUGCUAUAUUUGCAAUGUAUGCCUGUGCUAAGUUUCACCAGGACUGGGGCUAGCAUGGAAAGCUUCCAGAUGUAAGCUGAAUACAUUGCUGUAUUUUUCUUCAACUACAUAAUGACUUCAGCUCAUUCCAAAUGGAAAAUAGGUCAAGAGAAGAAGACAACUGUACUGCAGUAUCAGCGAUGGGCUUAGGAGUCUUGCUAAGUUCCUUUUCCUCUCGUGGGCUCAGCUCUCCCCUCUGAAAGGGUGAGCAACAUGACCUCAAAGGUGUUUCAUGAUUUCUGGGAUUUUUAGGGAUUGCCAAGCUCCCAGGGCCCUCCCUAGAGGGGUGCAGUCAUGAAUUCAUUGGAACAUUGUAUGAACCAGCCUCAAAUUCACCCUCUAAAGCCACAUAUUUUGUCUGGUAGAAGCCAAGGCCACCUCCACCUUCGCCCUUUUUCAUUCCUAUAUCAGUAAUUUGUGUCUUCUCUUUUUCUUGACCAGUCUUCCCAAGAGUUUGUCUAUUUUUCAAUAGUCUUUUAGAAAACACUUUUAGCUUUGUUCUAUUAUUCUUUUGUUUUAUAUUUUAUUAAUUCUGCUAUUAUCUGUAUUAUUUUUCUUUUCUGUUAUCUUUAGAUUUAGUUUUUUGUCCUUUUUCUAACUUUUGGAGAGGGAUACUUACAUCAUUGAUUUUACUUUUGUGUCCUUUUUAAUAUAUAUAAUUCAGG
rnacentral:lncRNA from 1 species